CCUACGGGUGGCAGCAGUGGGGAAUAUUGCGCAAUGGGCGAAAGCCUGACGCAGCGACGCCGCGUGAGGGAUGAAGGUCUUCGGAUCGUAAACCUCUGUCAGGAGGGAAGAACGGUCACUGUGCUAAUCAGCAGUGAAUUGACGGUACCUGAAAAGGAAGCACCGGCUAACUCCGUGCCAGCAGCCGCGGUAAGACGGAGGGUGCGAGCGUUAAUCGGAAUGACUGGGCGUAAAGCGCUCGUAGGCGGUAUGUCAAGUCAAGGGUGAAAUCCCCGCGCUCAACGUGGGAACUGCCGUUGAAACUGGCAAACUGGAGUGUGUGAGAGGUUAGUGGAAUUCGAGGUGUAGGAGUGAAAUCCAUAGAUAUCUGGAAGAACAUCGGUGGCGAAGGCGACUAUCUGGCACAUAACUGACGCUGAAGAGCGAAAGCGUGGGUAGCAAACAGGAUUAGAUACCCUAGUAGUC
rnacentral:rRNA from 1 species